CCUACGGGAGGCAGCAGUGGGGGAUAUUGCACAAUGGGGGGAACCCUGAUGCAGCAACGCCGCGUGGGUGAAGAAGGGCCUCGGCGCGUAAAGCCCUUUCAGCAGGGAAGAAAAUGACGGUACCUGAAGAAUAAGCCCCGGCUAACUACGUGCCAGCAGCCGCGGUAAUACGGAGGGGGCAAGCGUUAUCCGGAUUCACUGGGUGUAAAGGGGGCGCAGACGGCGAUGCAAGCCAGGAGUGAAAGCCCGGGGCUGAAACCCGGGACUGCUUUUGGAACUGGGUGGCUGGAGUGCAGGAGGGGCAGGCGGAAUUCCUGGUGUAGCGGUGAAAUGCGUAGAUAUCAGGAGGAACACCGGUGGCGAAGGCGGCCUGCUGGACUGCAACUGACGUUGAGGCCCGAAAGCGUGGGGAGCAAACAGGAUUAGAUACCCUGGUAGUC
rnacentral:rRNA from 1 species